AGAACUAAAAACCACAUGAUAAGCCAUCUUCUUCUCCAAGGAGCUAACCCUAGCAAUGGAGACAACCAAGGACACAAGAACACAUAGCUGAACCCCUUUGCCGGCAUCAACUAGGCCAGCCAUCUCCCUCGUUGCACUUAAAACCAGCGAAUCUCUGUCGCCGCCUCUAGAUCUCCACAGUUCAAAACCUCGCCGGAACCAGCCCGUUGCUGAGCUGCAUAGCGCAAACGAGAGGCGUACGCUGCUUCUCCUUCUUCAGUCUUCCUCACUGUGAAAAACCUAAAACCCUAGCAACCUCCAUCUCUAUGGCAGCCGGAUAACACCAAGGAAACGACCUCCAUCCCCCCAUCUCCAUCUUCUCCAAACAACCUCCCCGUUAUGUAACUUCCACGAUCCCAAAACAACAAUUACACUACAAAAACAACCUCUUAUCUCAUCUUCUUGUCUCACGCCGCCCAGAGCUGCUGGACCUCACCUGAAAGAGACUGAAAAUGGGGAAACAUUAAGGGAAGAGGGGAUCAAUUUUUGGGGUUGAAAUACGGACAGAAUGACGGUUGAAAUGGAACCUUUGUUUGGUUUCUAUUAUUUGCUUUGAUUCUUUAUUUAGAUCGUUGAUAUAGAGACAAGAAAAUCAUUCCACUUUGGUUUCGAUGACUUCAGAUAAGAAAAUACACAAUGAUAUUUCAGUUUUCAUUCAUGGUUAUUCAAUCAUAGAGCUUAGUUGAAAUUUGAGAUGGUUUUCUGUUGGUGGUCUCAAUAUUGGAGAUUCAAUGUCGUCGAAGGUCUGUUCAAGGUUUCGUCGCCGGAUCGUGGUGCCAGUCAAUUGUUCGUUUGAAUAGUAUUAUUUUGUAACGCGACUAUUUUUUCAAGGUACGUUUUUCUUUGUUUGCUUCACCAAUUCGUAAUUUAAUUAGUUCAUGUGAAUGUGUGGUUGGUUUCAUUGUUUGUUUAAUUUUAAUGCGCAUAUGUCCUAUUGAAUUGUUUGUUUGCGUUUGAUCUCAAAUAGAAGUUAUUGGCAUGAAAUCUGAACAAUGAAAUAAAGCAACAUGAAUUAGACUUCUAGAAUGUGUGUUAUUUAGUGGGUGGAGGAAUUGGUUUCUAAGAAUAAGCAUGGGUUUCGGGCAAAAUAUUAUAUUGUUAGGCUUUGGAUAAUUAUCUAGCCUUGAUUUCCAUUUUACCUAUUUGGGGUCGCUAGGAGCAUGCUAGGCCGUCGACACCUGGGUAGGUAAUUUUAGGAUUUUUCAUUUACUUUUGGUUUCGAAGGUAAGAGGUUGUCCUUUAGUUUAAUUUAUCUGGGGAAUUUCCUGAAGAGUUUGUAUAUAUUUUUAUCCGGGGUAUGCCCCGAAGUAUUAUGUAUUUGGAGUCUGAGGCAUCCUCGAUGGAGCAUUAGCUUAGUGUUGUAUAGGACUUUUAGUACUUUUAUUUUUAUUUUUAUUUUUCUUUCAUUAGGUGGGGACAACCUCGAGCCUCAUGUGUGUUUACUUUGCUUUUCCGUAAAUUUACCUCAACUCGAAUGUUUUAUAAACCAACUAGAUCGAGUACGCAACCGUAUAUUUCACGGGACUUGGGGAGUGCCUAACACCUUCUCCCUGAGUCAAAUGAACACCCUUACCCGAAUCUCUGGUGCGGAAUUGGUUUUAAGUCUGAAACAUUGUAAAAGGAAAAAUCAUGUUAAAAAUGGUGACCUGGCACACCAGAAUUCAAUAUCAGGUGGCGACUCCGAGUUAUUUUCCUUUUGAAAUAAAUUUUUGUCACUUUUCAAUUGAAACCCCUUUUCAAUCUUUUACUUAAAUCCUUUUUAUUUAUUUAAGAAGGUUAAGUAGAGUUUGUAAAAAAAAGGGUGUGACACUAGUAUGUACCGUUAUAUAUGUGUUGUAUCUUUUCAUGCAUUAAUUCCUUAACUGUAUUAAUUUUUUACUGCUUCCACUGAUAUUGAUCUAAAUUGCUAGAUAUAGACUACUUUGUGCAUUUUCUAUGUUUUCUUACCUUCGGACUGUAUUUAUGCUUAUUACUCAAUGUGUCGGAGUACUCACUUUACUCCCUGCACCUUGCGUGCACAUCCAGGUUCUUCUCAGGCUGAGUAGACCCAGUUUGAUCGAGUAGAGUUAGCUUUCGGGAGCAUCGAGGUAGCUGCACGACGUUCCUUAGAUUUCUCUCUAUCUCUGAUUUCCGUAGACUUGUAGUAGGAUGAAAACUCUAUAUUUAGAGGCUCACGGUCGUGACACCGGGUCCAUGUUUGGGCUAUAUUCUGUCUUUUAUUAAACUUCCUCAUUUCAUCAAUAUUUCUUGAUCUUUGACUUAAACGGUUUAGUGAUUCACUAAUUUAUUUAUCUAUCUCUGUUUAUUAAUUGGGUUAAAUGUUGGAAAUGGUCGGGCUUGCCUAGUAGUGUGUUUGGCUCCAUCAUGACCGUGUUGGGGUAGUGACAAGUUAGCAUCAGAGCUUAGGCUACUUGGUCUCGGGAGUCAUGAGCCGGUUUUGUAGAGUCUCGUGGAUCAGUACAGAGAUGUCUGUAUUUAUCCUCCAAAGGAUGCAUCACCUUUAGGAAAACUUUAUAUUAUUUAAAUUCGUAUUGUGAGACUUUGUUGAUCCGCAAACUAAACUUCUGUAUUCCAUUCUCUCGCAGAUGGCAAGAACCCGUGCUACCGGACGUGACGAUCAACCACCUGUACCACCUACUAAGGCCACCAGAUG
rnacentral:lncRNA from 1 species